AGGGGGAAUCCCUCCAGCGGCCCAGCCCCGCCUCCCGAGAUGUGGCAGGCCUCCUCCCCGCCCUACACUUUCUACCACCUGCCUUCCGCCUUGCAGGGAGGCUACCACCGGCUCCGGGAAGCCCCUCCCGCAGCCCUGCCGCUCCCCUGACUCAGAAGGAGCUGCUCGACCGACAGAUACCAAGGUCGUCUUUGCGCCGGCGUGCGACCAAUUUAAUACGUCUCCGUUAUGCACAAAAGCGGAGACCGACCGCCCGGCGCGGCUUCGACUCUCGGCGCGCGGAAGCGAUCCCGGGGUCCAGUGGGCCCGCUUUAGCCACGCCUCCGCGGGCGGGAAAAGGCGGGGAAUUCAAAUUAGGAACGGCGUUGGGUGAGCGCGACGAAGCGUCGACAGAAACACAGUUUCUCUUUUAAAAGGUAGAGGAUUUAAAAACCUGCACAGGAGCCUACUGCCUAGUGUGGCUCCCAUACCAAAGUCCGAGAAGCGAGGGAAGUGAGACCUCGAAGGAGGGUGACCUGGCUCACCUUCUUUCUUCGAUGGAAGGCUGCUAGGAGAUCCAUCGCGGGAAGCCCAUACCCCCAUGUGGCGUGUCUCCUGAACCGCGCUUUUUACCUUUUGCCCCGGUAAGACGUUUUCGUAAGCUCAUCAUCGUUCGUGGUACGAGACGGACGUCGCCACGUAGUGAAAAGCCGAGGCUUCACGGCCCCAGAAGGUCUGUGACCUCUCUUUUUUUUACAACCCCUUGAAAGUGUCUGUUGUUGACGCACACCUUCCAAGAGUGGACCGGGCCAAAUGUGGGUGCGGGCUGUAGUCUGCCAACCCCUGAUAUAAAACACCUUUUUGUCUUGUCACGGAGAUGCCUCCCUUCAGGCUUCUUGACAGUCCGCUGCCACAACUAGAGAAAGGCCUUACAUUUACAAGUGGCUGUGGCUCGUGACCAAAGUGGAAACGGAGAGUUCCUGCUCACUUGUGUCUCCCGGGUUUUCCAUCCAUGUUAAUUAAGUACAUUUGUUGAGCACGCACACUGUACACUCUUCCUUAAAUACCUUUGUGUUGGCGGACGUUUCCAGGGUUUCUUCCUUAAACGCGUGGUUCCUGCAGUUUCCCUCCACCUGUCAUCACCAGGACUUUUUAUGUUUUAGGGCAGAUCAGGAUUAAAAUCUCUGCCAGCACUCAAGAGGACUCAUGAUUAUAACAACUGAAUGAAUCUAGGGGCGCCUGGGUGGCUCAGUCAGUUAAGCAUCCAACUCCUGGUCUCGGCUAGGUCAUGAACCCUCGGUUGGUGAGUUUGAGCCCCACCUCGGGCUCUGGGCUGACAGCGCGGAACCUGCCUGGGUUUCUCAUUCUCCUCUUUCUUUGCCUCCUCCCCGACUCACAUUCUCUCUCUCUCUCUCUCUCUCUCUCUCAAAAUAAACAAUAAGUAAAUAUUUUAAAAAUUAGAAAAGAAAAGAAAGAAGAAUGCUGAAAACUUUCCGAAUUCUGGGGGAUCAUGUAGGGAGAAAAAGUAAAUGUUUCAUCUUUGUUUACAAAGGUAUAAUUUGCCAAAUUGUCGAUAGCUUAAGAGAAAAGAUAAAAAAGGUUUCAAAAAAAAUCUGGAAACACAAAACAUUAAAGAACAAGCAAUGAAGUCAUAAAAAUGAUCCUCCUCCUCAACUCAUUCAGUCUCAUGUAAUUAAUAUUUAUUCUACUUGAGUCCAGUUUUUCCAUUAGUUGUGGAAAUUUUUACCCAGUUCUGUUUUGUGAUCUUAGACUUAUCAAAACCUUGGACUUGCCGGGGCGCCUGGGUGGUUCAGUUGUUUAAGUGCCGGGCUCUUGAGUGCAGCUCAGGUCAGCAUCUCACGGUUUGUGGGAUCGAGCCCUGGCAUGGGGCUCUGUGCUGACAGCACGGAGUCUGCUUGGGAUUCUCCCCCCCCCCACUCCCCCCCCCCCGCCCUCCCACACUUUCUCUUUCUCUCUCUCUCUCUCUCCCCCCCCGCCUCCCUCCCUCUCAAAAUAAUAAACUUAAGGGAGAGAAAGAAAGAAAGAAAGAAAGAAAGAAAGAAAUUGUACUUGUCAAAGUACAAGGGAACGAUGAAAUCGGUCCCCAUCAUGGAGUGUUACCCUCUGAUGUAAGCCUGGGCUUACACACCCUCGUGUGCCUGACACCUGGAUGGUCUUGAACCUUUGGUCUCAGGACCUUGGUUUUCUUGUCACCAAAGUUAAGCAUAGGAUGGAUGACUCCCAAGGUGCUGGGAGGUCCUGACGCACAGGGGGCGGCGGGGUGGGGGUGUGUGGGGGGGGGGGGGGUCCGUCCCUUAGCUGCUCCCUGCUUCCCCCUGCUGCCCCCAAAGAGAAAAAGAAAAUCGGUUCAUCGGCUGAGAUGAUGACUCAGCCCUAGAGGCGGUGCAGUGCAGGUAAAGGAGCAGGCUGCCUGGCAACCCACUUUGGAUCUUAAACACCUGGCCAGGCACCCAACGUUCUGCCCUCAGCAGCCAGGUGUCCAGCUCCUUGAAUCCGCCCCCCACACAUCUGAGUCUGUCUCCCAAGUCUGGUUAGCUUGAAAUCUCUUUCUGAAAGUGUGCUUUUCUCAUCUGUUAAGUGGGAAUCGUGAACGCUGAUUGAUCCACUUUCCUCAGAAAGUGGAUGGGAACGAGAGGACCCGUCAAUCGCAAAGACGCAAAACCAACCAGCCAAGAGGAAGGGUCCCCUUAAUUCUGUGGGAGGAAGCAGAGCAAGACAGCUGAGGAUGUUGGGAGGUGGGGCCUCGGCAGCCUGGAUCUCUUUGGAUGUAAAAUACGAUAAGUAACACCUUCUCUUUGGGAUUGUUGGAAGACCAAAAGGACAAUGUGGGGAUUUGCCGUCCCGGCCCACGGUGGGUGCCCAAGUUCCUGGAGCCUUCCGGUCACUUACAAUUCAAACAAAAGAAACACCAAAAAGUUAGCUCGUGUGUCAUGGGCUCCUUUUCUCUGUCUCGGCACCAGAAGGUUCUAGAAACCGUUUGCAGACUCUCCUCAGGGACUCAGAAGUCAUCAAGUGCCGUCGCCGAGCACUUCUCAAACGGUCCCGUACGCACACGCACACGCACACGCGCACGCGCGCACACACACACACACACACGCCAGGAGAGUCUUGUUAAGAAGCCCGUGGUCCUGCGUUUCCAGCAUGCUCGCGGGACCCCAAUGCUGCUGAUCUGGAGACCUCGCUUUGAGCAGCGAGACGGUGGGUGGCCUCUGAACCUGACAGUCCGUGGGCUAUUAUUCCAUAUAGGAUGCCGGGACGGCUGGGUAGCCAUCCAGAAAAAGUAACGUCAGACUUAUACUCCCAAUUCCCAUACUAGGACUGAUACGAAGAAGUGUGAUCUGUGCUCGAGGUGGAAAUGCAAAAUGAUGAACAAUUUAAAGGACAACGGGCAAAGAAUAGAGACGCUCAGUAACUUGACCAAACUCACAAGAAGCCGGUGCGUGAACUGGAAUGAGAAACCAUUAAUUUGCAAUGGGAAAUACUCCUUUGCGAUGACAGAACAUGCAUGUCUGCCAUCCCAGGCACCUCACUGCACAGAUCAAGAUGCCCCUGAAGUUCCGUGAGGGAGCCCGGUGGGGCGCCUGGCUGGCUCCGUCAGAAGAGCAUGGGACUCUCGAUGAUCUCAGGGUCGUGAGUUCAGACCCCAUGUUGGGCGUGGAGCUUACUUUAAAUAAAUAAAUAAAUAAAUAAAUAAAUAAAUAAAUAAAUAAAUAAGCAAGCGAGCACGCACGCACAAGAUGACCAGAUAAACGUGGAAGCGAGCAGAAAGUUGGUAGAACGCAGUGAGGGUCAUAAUUACCACAAGCCAGGAGGUCUGCUGGUCACCUUCCAUAUGUAGAGAUCACAUUAUAUAAUAUUUAUUCAUUCAUUUAUUCGACCAAAUAUACGAAGUGUCCAGUAUAUGCCAGGUACUGUCCUAAGCACUGGAAAUAUAACUGUGGACUAUGGAAUAAAGAACAAAAACAAACAACAAACAAAAAACA